GUGGAGGUGGUGGGGGCCUCCAUCACCUAGGGCCUUGCAGGUGGUCCUGGUGAGGCGACGGUAGCUAAUGCCAGGGCUCGCCCCAGCGUAAUGUGGAACCCUGUUGUUCUCGGUGCUGUCACAGUUUAUGUCUUCAGUUUUAUUAAAUGUACAUGCAGUCAAAUUUAGUUUAUAAAUCUUAACGGGGAUUGCAGUGGAAUUUUACUCUGAACACCUGAUGCUGUGAAUGAAUUUGAGUUACAGUUUAUGACUUAAUGGUUAUAUGUGAAAUCCUUAGAGUCAGUAUUUUAUUGAAAUAUUUAUUUCUGUUCUCUUCACAUUAUAGGUGAAAUUGGGUUAAUUAGAACAGCUGAUGAUGAAGAGAAACUUAGUGUGGUACAGGAUUAGAUGUUGAAUAGAAUUGUCAAAGAUCAGCAGGCAUGUUUUUAUGGGCCAUCUGGCAAGACUAGAAGUAGUUUUCGGACCUAGACUCCCUUAAACAUGUAUUUGCAUUCCAUUCCUUGUCAACAUGAGACAAAACAAAAAUCAGAAUUUUAGAGCCAGAAUGAAUCUUAAAUACUUACUAGUCUAAAUCUUUAGUUUUACAAAGAAAUUUUUUCUCAGACACACUCAUAUACUUUCUUCAUAAGUGUUCUUUCACUUACACAGAUAGAAUUUAACUUAUGUAAAACUUAAGCUAUUUACCCCAGUCUUGAGCUCAUCUUCUGACAACUGUCCCAAAUGCCAGGCAACUAAAAAUUACACCGUUGGGAAGGUAUUCUGUAUAAGCUUGAGGGUGAACUACCUUUGCCUGGGAAACUUGUUUCUUAAAAUGUAGGCUCUCACUGCUUUCCUCCCGAGAUUUGACGCAGUAGGUUUGUAGGGCCCAGUAAAUCUGUUUAUUGUGACCUGGUGACGUCAAAGUAUGUGACCUGGGACCUUACCCUUAAGAAAGUGAUUUCAUAGAGUAAAAGAUUUGAAAAGUGAUGUUAUUAGCGCUCUUCAUCUCUGAUGUCUUAUUUCUGAAAAAUUAUAGAGACAGGUGAAAAGCUACGUGGAAUCUUGUCCUUGUGAAGAAUCUGUUUCCCUCUAUGUGGAUGUGAGGCAGAGGAGUGCUUAGUGGUGAUUUUUGUUCCUCUGUCAACAGAACCUUACGGUCAUUAUGAUGCAAGUCAUUGAAUCCAUAUGACCAUGUGGUGCUGCGCAUGAUGAAAGUCUUUUUCAGUCAAGUGAAGCAAAUUGAGACCAUUUGGACAAUAUGCUAUUUAUCGUUGCUGAGAUAUUAUUAAAAUGGAGCAGAGAAUACUAGAGUAGUCAGUAUCCAUGGAGUAUAUAUGGAAUAUCAUAGUAUUGAUUUAAAUAAGGCAACUUCUUUAGCAACUGGAAUAUUCUCAGAUGUUGUAUGAU
ensembl:lncRNA